UACGAAGGUCCCAAGCGUUGUUCGGAAUCACUGGGCGUAAAGGGAGCGUAGGCGGCGUGGUAAGUCAGAUGUGAAAUCCUGGGGCUCAACCCCGGAACUGCAUCCGAUACUGCCAUGCUAGAGGAUUGGAGAGGUAGCUGGAAUUCUUGGUGUAGCAGUGAAAUGCGUGGAUAUCAAGAGGAACACUCGUGGCGAAAGCGAGCUACUGGACAAUUCCUGACGCUGAGGCCCGAAGGCUAGGGUAGCGAAAGGG
rnacentral:rRNA from 1 species